rnacentral:lncRNA from 1 species
UGGGUGUGUUUUGAUGAAACAGGUCAAGUUGAGGUUUAUUGGUGGGUUUUGAUGAAACAGGUCAAGUUGAGGUUUAUUGGUGGGUUUUGAUGAAACAGGUCAAGUUGAGGUUUAUUGGUGGGUUUUGAUGAAACAGGUCAAGUUGAGGUUUAUUGGUGGGUUUUGAUGCAACAGGUCAAGUUGAGGUUUAUUGGUGGGUUUUGAUAAAACAGGUCAAGUUGAGGUUUAUUGGUGGGUUUUGAUGAAACAGGUCAAGUUGAUGUUUAUUGGUGGCUUUUCAUAAAACAGGUCAAGUUGAGGUUUAUUGGUGGGUUUUGAUGAAACAGGUCAGGUUGAGGUUUAUUGAUGGGUUUUGAUGAAACAGGUCAAGUUGAGGUUUAUUGGUGGGUUUUCAUAAAACAGGUCAGUUGAGGUUUAUUGUGAAGUCAGUCUAGUUUGGGUGACAUCACGGUCAGAGGGAUCAUUGACAUUCAUAGAAUAUUAGUCAGCUGAUAUCACACUACUAUAUCACCCUACUAUAUCACACUACUAUAUCACACUACUACUGUAUAUCACACUACUAUAUCACACUACUAUAUCAAACUACUAUAUCACCCUACUAUAUCACACUACUACUGUAUAUCACACUACUAUAUCACACUACUAUAUCAAACUACUAUAUCACCCUACUAUAUCACACUACUAUAUCACACUACUAUAUCACCCUACUAUAUCACCCUACUAUAUCACACCACUAUAUCACACUACUAUAUCACACUACUAUAUCACCCUACUAUAUCACACUACUAUAUCAAACUACUAUAUCACACUACUAUAUCACACACCUAUAUCACACUACUAUAUCACGCUACUACUGUAUAUCACACUACUAUAUCACCCUACUAUAUCACCAUACUAUAUCACCCUACUACAUCACCCUACUACUGUAUAUCACACUACUAUAUCACCCUACUACUGUAUAUCACAGUACUAUAUCACACUACUACUGUAUAUCACACUACAACUGUAUAUCACACUACUAUAUCACACUACUAUAUCACCCUACUACUGUAUGUCACACUACUAUAUCAAACUUCUAUAUCACACUACUACUGUAUAUCACACUACUAUAUCACACUAUUAUAUCACACUACUAUAUCACCCUACUAUAUCACACUACUACUGUAUAUCACACUACUAUAUCACACUACUAUAUCACACUACUACUGUAUAUCACACUACUAUAUCACCCUACUAUAUCACACUACUAUAUCACCCUACUAUAUCACACUACUACUGUAUAUCACACUACUAUAUCACACUACUACUGUAUAUCACACUACUAUAUCACGCUAUUAUAUCACACUACUAUAUCACACUACUACAUCACACUACUAUAUCACACUACUACAUCACACUACUACUGUAUAUCACACUACUAUAUCACACUACUAUAUCACACUACUACUGUAUAUCACACUACUAUAUCACGCUACUAUAUCACACUACUACAUCACACUACUACAUCACACUACUACUGUAUAUCACACUACUAUAUCACACUACUACAUCACACUACUAUAUCACACUACUACAUCACACUACUACAUCACACUACUAUAUCACACUACUAUAUCACACUACUACAUCACACUACUACAUCACACUACUAUAUCACACUACUACAUCACGCUACUACAUCACGCUACUAU